AUUAUUAAUUUCUUGGAUUAUGUGUGAAAUUUGCCAUUAAUUAGGUUACAUAUUGAUAAAAAAUUUAGAGAAGGGUUUCAAUAAAAUACAGAACGGUGGGUUAACAGAUAAAAAUUGUUUAAAAUAUAUCGAUGAAGAGAAAAAGUUGAACAUUUAUGGUGACGCUUUCAAAUUUAUCUCUUGUUUAACGAUAUCGAAAACUAGACUCUCGGAUCUCACAAUAUCGUCUAUCACAAGUGAUUCCCAAAGUAACCCAGAUGAAUUCCUGAAGGCUACAAAUUUCAAGGUGAUCACUGAACAAAAGCUUACUCUUAACGAUCAAAAACAAUGAAUACUGUAUCCAAGUAAUUAUAGACAAUACAAAAAAUAAUGAUAGGAAAAUAUUACGUCGGAAGUGAAUCUGAUGAAGAUAUCGACAUCACACCAAUCGAUUGAGUAAACUGACCGAUUAUCGAUUAUGUUACAAUGCAACCAAAACUCCGGAAACGGAUGAUCAAAUGUUACAUAUGGUCAGUUCUCUUGUAUGGUGUCGAAGCAUGAACUUUAAAAAUAUCUACCAUUAAUCGCUUAGAAACUUUUGAAAUGUGGUUAUAUAGACGCAUGUUCAAGAUACCCUGGACAUCUAUGCAAACAAACGAUGCAGUCGUUAAUAGAUCAAAUGCAGUUCGGUUGGUGAAUAACAUUAAAUAAUGCGGGGUAGCCGGUUUAGUAUCCUCCAUAUGAUUAUGAUGGGUAAGGUUGAAGGUCGUAGAGUAAA